rnacentral:rRNA from 1 species
AUGAAGUAUUUCGAUGCGCGGCUUUCUAGUGCCUCUGAAAGCCCUACGUCGCCGCUAGGCAGGGCAGCUGCACGGCUUUUUGCUUGGUCAUUUUGGUUGGGAUUAAUCUCGUGGAUUCUUCAGCUGUGUGGACUAUUUCCAGAGAUGUCUGACCUUCUGGCCGACGCGUCUAAACUGGGCAUCUGGUCAUGUUUCGCUCUCAUCUAUUUGCGUGCUGGAAUGGCGCUGCGGAGGAUGAAUCCCAGGCCCAGCGACAUCAUCGUGGCAGAGGCAGAUCACGCGGCUUCACCUACUCAGGAUUUCGAGCUGGCUGCAGCAAGUUGA